GACGAACGCUGGCGGCGUGCUUAACACAUGCAAGUCGAACGGAAAGGCCCUGCUUUUGUGGGGUGCUCGAGUGGCGAACGGGUGAGUAACACGUGAGUAACCUGCCCUUGACUUUGGGAUAACUUCAGGAAACUGGGGCUAAUACCGGAUAGGAGCUCCUGCUGCAUGGUGGGGGUUGGAAAGUUUCGGCGGUUGGGGAUGGACUCGCGGCUUAUCCGCUUGUUGGUGGGGUAGUGGCUUACCAAGGCUUUGACGGGUAGCCGGCCUGAGAGGGUGACCGGCCACGUUGGGACUGGGAUACGGCACAGGCUCCUACGGGAGGAAGCAGUGGAGAAUAUUGCAGCAAGGGCGGGAGCGUGAUGAAGGAACGCCGCGUGCGAGAUGACGGCAUUCGGGAUGUAAACCGCUUUCGCCUGUGACGAAGCGUGUGUGGCGAUAAAGGGAAAAGAAGCACGGGAUAACUGUG
rnacentral:rRNA from 1 species